CACGUAGGGUGCGAGCGUUGUCCGGAAUUAUUGGGCGUAAAGAGCUCGUAGGCGGUGUGUCGCGUCGGCCGUGAAAACCUGCAGCUUAACUGUGGGCUUGCGGUCGAUACGGGCAUCACUGGAGUUCGGCAGGGGAGACUGGAAUUCUCGGUGUAGCGGUGAAAUGCGUAGAUAUCGAGAGGAACACCUGCGGCGAAGGCGGGUUGCUGGGCUGACACUGACGCUGAGGCGCGAAAGCGUGGGGAGCAAACAGG
rnacentral:rRNA from 1 species